UGGCCAGGUAUAUGUAGGAUGUUUGUAAAAGUAGAAUGCGCAGAAAUGUACAGAAGGCUGGGAAUAGUGCUGCCGUGUUAUAAGCCCUAAGGACAGUUGAGGUCAUUAAGAUGCCUGAAAAUGGCUACAAUA
rnacentral:snoRNA from 1 species